UCUUAUUCAUCAGCCACCCACGCUCAUUAAUCAGAGACACAUCGAAGUAUAAGCCUUUUCGAGAAAUUAGUGGUGGAAAGACCCCAUCAUUAAGGAAAUUGACUUCAAUGAUUCUUGGAUGUAACAUUCAAAGUGGAGAACAUAGUUCAGUAGAAGAUGCUCAAGCUGCUAUGUUGCUUUAUUUAAGGCAUAAAAAAGACUGGGAACGCCAGAUAAAAAGUCUAAGGAAAAGGAAACCAGCGCAAUAAUGCAAAAUGUAUGCAAUGUAAAUGAAAUAAAUAUUUGUAUAUAUUUUACGCAAUUGUA